rnacentral:rRNA from 2 species
UGCAUAUCAAAAAAGCGGAGGAAAAGAAACCAACCGGGAUUGCCUUAGUAACGGCGAGUGAAGCGGCAAAAGCUCAAAUUUGAAAUCUGGCGUCUUCGACGUCCGAGUUGUAAUUUGAAGAAGGCGACUUUGUAGCUGGUCCUUGUCUAUGUUCCUUGGAACAGGACGUCAUAGAGGGUGAGAAUCCCGUGUGGCGAGGAUCCCAGUUAUUUGUAAAGUGCUUUCGACGAGUCGAGUUGUUUGGGAAUGCAGCUCUAAGUGGGUGGUAAAUUCCAUCUAAAGCUAAAUAUUGGCGAGAGACCGAUAGCGAACAAGUACAGUGAUGGAAAGAUGAAAAGAACUUUGAAAAGAGAGUGAAAAAGUACGUGAAAUUGUUGAAAGGGAAGGGCAUUUGAUCAGACAUGGCGUUUGCUUCGGCUUUCGCUGGGCCAGCAUCAGUUUUAGCGGUUGGAUAAAUCCUCGGGAAUGUGGCUCUGCUUCGGUAGAGUGUUAUAGCCCGUGGGAAUACAGCCAGCUGGGACUGAGGAUUGCGACUUUUGUCAAGGAUGCUGGCGUAAUGGUUAAAUGCCGCCCGUCUUGAACACC